AUAAAAAGUGUUGUGUACAGCAACCGAUUUCAUAAAUUUGCUUUCCGAGUAGCCCCUAAGUUGAGGGGCUUUUUUUAUGCC
rnacentral:ncRNA from 22 species